UACGUAGGCAGCGAGCGUUGUUCGGAGUUACUGGGCGUAAAGGGUGUGUAGGCGGUUCUUUAAGUUUGGUGUGAAAUCUCCCGGCUCAACCGGGAGGGUGCGCCGAAUACUGAGGGACUAGAGUACGGGAGAGGAAAGUGGAAUUCCUGGUGUAGCGGUGAAAAUGCGUAGAUAUCAGGAGGAACACCGGUGGUGUAGACGGCUUUCUGGACCGUAACUGACGCUGAGACACGAAAGCGUGGGUAGCAAAACAGG
rnacentral:rRNA from 1 species